rnacentral:tRNA from 2 species
GGGCGAUUAGCUCAGCUGGAUAGAGCGUCGGCCUCCGGAGCCGAAGGUCGCGCGUUCAAAUCGCGCAUCGCUCAUCA